GACGAGCGCUGGCGGCGUGCCUAAUACAUGCAAGUUGAGCGAUGAAGAUUGGUGCUUGCACCAAUUUGAAGAGCAGCGAACGGGUGAGUAACGCGUGGGGAAUCUGCCUUUGAGCGGGGGACAACAUUUGGAAACGAAUGCUAAUACCGCAUAACAACUUUAAACAUAAGUUUUAAGUUUGAAAGAUGCAAUUGCAUCACUCAAAGAUGAUCCCGCGUUGUAUUAGCUAGUUGGUGAGGUAAAGGCUCACCAAGGCGAUGAUACAUAGCCGACCUGAGAGGGUGAUCGGCCACAUUGGGACUGAGACACGGCCCAAACUCCUACGGGAGGCAGCAGUAGGGAAUCUUCGGCAAUGGACGAAAGUCUGACCGAGCAACGCCGCGUGAGUGAAGAAGGUUUUCGGAUCGUAAAACUCUGUUGGUAGAGAAGAACGUUGGUGAGAGUGGAAAGCUCAUCAAGUGACGAUAACUACCCAGAAAGGGACGGCUAACUACGUG
rnacentral:rRNA from 1 species